rnacentral:rRNA from 1 species
GACGAACGCUGGCGGCGUGCCUGACACAUGCAAGUCGGACGGUUCUUGCACCUUCAAGCUUGCUUGCUGGUGCAAGGAUAGUGGCGGACGGGUGAGUAACGCGUGAACAUCUACCCAUUGGAGGGGGACAACCCGUCGAAAGGCGGGCUAAUACCGCGUAAGCCGCGAGGUGAGAGGCUGCCUAUUGGUGGCCGCCGAUGGGAUGGGUUCGCGUCCUAUCAGCUGGUUGGUGGGGUAACGGCCUACCAAGGCGAAGACGGGUAGCCGGUCUGAGAGGAUGGCCGGCCACACUGGAACUGAGACACGGUCCAGACUCCUACGGGAGGCAGCAGUGGGGAAUAGUUGGGCAAUGGGGGUAACCCUGACCCAGCGACGCCGCGUGAGGGACGAAGGUUUUCGGGUCGUAAAGCACUUUUUGGAGGGAAUAGGAAGGAAGGUACCUCCAGAAUAAGUCUCGGCUAACUACGUG